AUGUGGCCGGAGAGCCCGCUUCUCCGGGACGCCGGCGCUGCCGUGCUCACCGGAUGCGUCGCCAUGGCGGUGCUCCGCUUCUGGGAGGAGGUCGGCAACCGCGCCCUCUUGGACCAAAAACUCUGCAGGAAGCUGGUGCACAUCAGUGUUGGGCUGGUAUAUUUCCUUAUGUGGCCUUUGUUCAGUUCAGAUGAUGUCUAUGCUCCAUUUCUUGCUUCAAUUGUCAUUGCGCUCAAUAUCAUAAAGGUAACCCUGAUUGGAUCUGGUGUAGUUAAAGAUGACGGCGUGGUUAACUCAAUGACAAGAAAUGGAGACUAUAGAGAGCUUCUCAAAGGCCCACUCUAUUACGCGUGUACUAUAACUCUCACUACCGUAAUCUUUUGGCGGACGUCUCCCAUUUCGAUCGCUGUGAUUUGCAACUUAUGUGCGGGGGACGGUGUGGCUGACAUAGCCGGGAGGCGGUUCGGGCGUGUGAAGCUCCCUCACAAUCCCGACAAAUCCUACGCCGGAAGCAUCGCAAUGUUCUUCGCCGGCUUCAUCGCAUCGAUCCUUUUCAUGUGCUACUUCCACCUUUUCGGGUUCGUGGAGCAGAGCUGGACCAUGGUCGCUGCCUUCUGCGUCACCUCGCUUGCAGCGGCGAUUGUCGAGUCACUCCCGGUCAGCACGCUCUUGGACGAUAACCUGACAACUUCGAUCGCGUCUGCGCUCGUCGGCGGCCUGGUUUUCUACUAUGUUGGUGGUGGUGGCGGUGCUGGAAGCGGCGUCGGGAGCAGCAUCUUGGCGACAGCUGCGAUGGUCUUUGCAGGCAGUAGCUAG
rnacentral:rRNA from 1 species